rnacentral:piRNA from 1 species
UGCUGGUUGAGGGCAAGGGAACAAUG